CCUCCGUUCUUCCGCCGUUUUUACUAUUUCUCCCUUUUUUCCACCCUUACUCAGCAACGCCUCGUGAUUGAAGAAGGCCUUCGGGUUGUAAAGAUCUUUAAUCGGGGACGAAUUUUGACGGUACCCGAAGAAUAAGCUCCGGCUAACUACGUGCCAGCAGCCGCGGUAAUACGUAGGGAGCAAGCGUUAUCCGGAUUUACUGGGUGUAAAGGGCGUGUAGGCGGGCAUGCAAGCCAGAAGUGAAAUCUGGGGGCUUAACCCCCAAACUGCUUUUGGAACUGCGUGUCUUGAGUGAUGGAGAGGCAGGCGGAAUUCCCAGUGUAGCGGUGAAAUGCGUAGAUAUUGGGAGGAACACCAGUGGCGAAGGCGGCCUGCUGGACAUUAACUGACGCUGAGGCGCGAAAGCGUGGGGAGCAAACAGGAUUAGAUACCCGAGUAGUC
rnacentral:rRNA from 1 species